UACGUAGGGGGCGAGCGUUGUCCGGAUUUAUUGGGCGUAAAGAGCGUGUAGGCGGCUUGGUAGGUCUGCUGUGAAAACUCGAGGCUCAACCUCGAGACGCCGGUGGAAACCAUCUAGCUAGAGUCCGGAAGAGGAGAGUGGAAUUCCUGGUGUAGCGGUGAAAUGCGCAGAUAUCAGGAAGAACACCCGUGGCGAAGGCGGCUCUCUGGGACGUGACUGACGCUGAGACGCGAAAGCGUGGGGAGCGAACAGG
rnacentral:rRNA from 1 species